GGUUAAGCGACUAAGCGUACACGGUGGAUGCCCUGGCAGUCAGAGGCGAUGAAGGACGUGCUAAUCUGCGAUAAGCGUCGGUAAGGUGAUAUGAACCGUUAUAACCGGCGAUUUCCGAAUGGGGAAACCCAGUGUGUUUCGACACACUAUCAUUAACUGAAUCCAUAGGUUAAUGAGGCGAACCGGGGGAACUGAAACAUCUAAGUACCCCGAGGAAAAGAAAUCAACCGAGAUUCCCCCAGUAGCGGCGAGCGAACGGGGAGCAGCCCAGAGCCUGAAUCAGUGUGUGUGUUAGUGGAAGCGUCUGGAAAGGCGCGCGAUACAGGGUGACAGCCCCGUACACAAAAAUGCACAUGCUGUGAGCUCGAUGAGUAGGGCGGGACACGUGGUAUCCUGUCUGAAUAUGGGGGGACCAUCCUCCAAGGCUAAAUACUCCUGACUGACCGAUAGUGAACCAGUACCGUGAGGGAAAGGCGAAAAGAACCCCGGCGAGGGGAGUGAAAAAGAACCUGAAACCGUGUACGUACAAGCAGUGGGAGCACGCUUAGGCGUGUGACUGCGUACCUUUUGUAUAAUGGGUCAGCGACUUAUAUUCUGUAGCAAGGUUAACCGAAUAGGGGAGCCGAAGGGAAACCGAGUCUUAACUGGGCGUUAAGUUGCAGGGUAUAGACCCGAAACCCGGUGAUCUAGCCAUGGGCAGGUUGAAGGUUGGGUAACACUAACUGGAGGACCGAACCGACUAAUGUUGAAAAAUUAGCGGAUGACUUGUGGCUGGGGGUGAAAGGCCAAUCAAACCGGGAGAUAGCUGGUUCUCCCCGAAAGCUAUUUAGGUAGCGCCUCGUGAAUUCAUCUCCGGGGGUAGAGCACUGUUUCGGCAAGGGGGUCAUCCCGACUUACCAACCCGAUGCAAACUGCGAAUACCGGAGAAUGUUAUCACGGGAGACACACGGCGGGUGCUAACGUCCGUCGUGAAGAGGGAAACAACCCAGACCGCCAGCUAAGGUCCCAAAGUCAUGGUUAAGUGGGAAACGAUGUGGGAAGGCCCAGACAGCCAGGAUGUUGGCUUAGAAGCAGCCAUCAUUUAAAGAAAGCGUAAUAGCUCACUGGUCGAGUCGGCCUGCGCGGAAGAUGUAACGGGGCUAAACCAUGCACCGAAGCUGCGGCAGCGACGCUGAUGCGUUGUUGGGUAGGGGAGCGUUCUGUAAGCCUGUGAAGGUGUGCUGUGAGGCAUGCUGGAGGUAUCAGAAGUGCGAAUGCUGACAUAAGUAACGAUAAAGCGGGUGAAAAGCCCGCUCGCCGGAAGACCAAGGGUUCCUGUCCAACGUUAAUCGGGGCAGGGUGAGUCGACCCCUAAGGCGAGGCCGAAAGGCGUAGUCGAUGGGAAACAGGUUAAUAUUCCUGUACUUGGUGUUACUGCGAAGGGGGGACGGAGAAGGCUAUGUUGGCCGGGCGACGGUUGUCCCGGUUUAAGCGUGUAGGCUGGUUUUCCAGGCAAAUCCGGAAAAUCAAGGCUGAGGCGUGAUGACGAGGCACUACGGUGCUGAAGCAACAAAUGCCCUGCUUCCAGGAAAAGCCUCUAAGCAUCAGGUAACAUCAAAUCGUACCCCAAACCGACACAGGUGGUCAGGUAGAGAAUACCAAGGCGCUUGAGAGAACUCGGGUGAAGGAACUAGGCAAAAUGGUGCCGUAACUUCGGGAGAAGGCACGCUGAUAUGUAGGUGAAGUCCCUUGCGGAUGGAGCUGAAAUCAGUCGAAGAUACCAGCUGGCUGCAACUGUUUAUUAAAAACACAGCACUGUGCAAACACGAAAGUGGACGUAUACGGUGUGACGCCUGCCCGGUGCCGGAAGGUUAAUUGAUGGGGUCAGCGCAAGCGAAGCUCUUGAUCGAAGCCCCGGUAAACGGCGGCCGUAACUAUAACGGUCCUAAGGUAGCGAAAUUCCUUGUCGGGUAAGUUCCGACCUGCACGAAUGGCGUAAUGAUGGCCAGGCUGUCUCCACCCGAGACUCAGUGAAAUUGAACUCGCUGUGAAGAUGCAGUGUACCCGCGGCAAGACGGAAAGACCCCGUGAACCUUUACUAUAGCUUGACACUGAACAUUGAGCCUUGAUGUGUAGGAUAGGUGGGAGGCUUUGAAGUGUGGACGCCAGUCUGCAUGGAGCCGACCUUGAAAUACCACCCUUUAAUGUUUGAUGUUCUAACGUUGACCCGUAAUCCGGGUUGCGGACAGUGUCUGGUGGGUAGUUUGACUGGGGCGGUCUCCUCCUAAAGAGUAACGGAGGAGCACGAAGGUUGGCUAAUCCUGGUCGGACAUCAGGAGGUUAGUGCAAUGGCAUAAGCCAGCUUGACUGCGAGCGUGACGGCGCGAGCAGGUGCGAAAGCAGGUCAUAGUGAUCCGGUGGUUCUGAAUGGAAGGGCCAUCGCUCAACGGAUAAAAGGUACUCCGGGGAUAACAGGCUGAUACCGCCCAAGAGUUCAUAUCGACGGCGGUGUUUGGCACCUCGAUGUCGGCUCAUCACAUCCUGGGGCUGAAGUAGGUCCCAAGGGUAUGGCUGUUCGCCAUUUAAAGUGGUACGCGAGCUGGGUUUAGAACGUCGUGAGACAGUUCGGUCCCUAUCUGCCGUGGGCGCUGGAGAACUGAGGGGGGCUGCUCCUAGUACGAGAGGACCGGAGUGGACGCAUCACUGGUGUUCGGGUUGUCAUGCCAAUGGCACUGCCCGGUAGCUAAAUGCGGAAGAGAUAAGUGCUGAAAGCAUCUAAGCACGAAACUUGCCCCGAGAUGAGUUCUCCCUGACUCCUUGAGAGUCCUGAAGGAACGUUGAAGACGACGACGUUGAUAGGCCGGGUGUGUAAGCGCAGCGAUGCGUUGAGCUAACCGGUACUAAUGAACCGUGAGGCUUAACCUU
rnacentral:rRNA from 1 species